rnacentral:rRNA from 1 species
AGGACGAACGCUGGCGGCGUGCUUAACACAUGCAAGUCGAGCGGUAAGGCCUUUUCGGGGUACACGAGCGGCGAACGGGUGAGUAACACGUGGGUGAUCUGCCCUGCACUCUGGGAUAAGCCUGGGAAACUGGGUCUAAUACCGGAUAUGACCUGCUCUCGCAGUGGGGGUGGUGAAAGAUUUAUCGGUGCAGGAUGGGCCCGCGGCCUAUCAGGCUUGGUUGGUGGGGUAAUGGCCUACCAAGGUCGACGACGGGUAGCCGACCUGAGACGGGUGACCGGCACGACGUGGGACUGGAGACACGGCCCAGACCUCGACGGGAGCAGCAGUGGGAAUA